GUGCCAGCCGCCGCGGUACUACGGAGGGUGCGAGCGUUAAUCGGAAUUACUGGGCGUAAAGCGCGCGUAGGCGGUUUGUUAAGUCAGCUGUGAAAGCCCCGGGCUCAACCUGGGAAUUGCAGUUGAUACUGGCCGACUAGAGUACGUGAGAGGGAGGUAGAAUUCCACGUGUAGCGGUGAAAUGCGUAGAUAUGUGGAGGAAUACCGGUGGCGAAGGCGGCCUCCUGGCUCGAUACUGACGCUGAGGUGCGAAAGCGUGGGGAGCAAACUGGAUUAGAUACCCCUGUAGUCC
rnacentral:rRNA from 1 species